rnacentral:lncRNA from 1 species
GAGGUAAGCAACAAGCCUUGUGUUUUCGUGCGCUGCAUGACGAAACUUUUUCAUAUCAAGGAAGAUCAGCGUCUGUGAGAGAUCGAUCAAAAUCCCACAAACAAAACGACAAAGCUUCAUGCAUAUAGUCGACUGGAAAUGACUCCAGGCCGGGCUUAGAAGUUAAGAAUGAAUGCAGUAACUCCGGGAACUCUAACUCUCACGGCAGAUUCCAGAUGGAGGAGGAAGGAGAUGAUAGACACAUACGAAGCUCUUCUCAAGCAGUAUGGAAACUCCAAGUCACUCAGACGGGUUCACUCACAGAUGAUCUCUAAUGGUCUCGACGGGGAUACGUACCUGGGAAAUCUCUUGGUGCAAAUGUAUGGAAGGUGUGGAAGCCUGGACGACGCUCGAGCUGCUUACCGAGGGAUCCACCAGCGGAACGUGUUCUCCUGGACGAUACUCAUCUCGCUUCUUGUCCAGAAUGGUCGAUGCAGUGACGCUGAUUAGCGUCCUGGAGGCUUGUGCGAGCCUGAGAGCAUUGGUAGAAGGAAAGACAAUUCACGAGAGGAUAGUUGCAAGUGGAGUAGAGACGGAUGUGUUUGUGGGAACUGCAGUGAGCUUCUACGGAAAAUGCGAGGCUGUAGAAGACGCAAGACAGGUGUUUGAUCGGGUAAUGGACAAAGACAUUGUUUGCUGGAAUGCAAUGACCGGAGCGUAUGCACAGCACCAUUGCGAGGAGAAAGCGUUUGCAUUGUACCUGGAGAUGGUGGAGAAUAAAUUGCCGCUCAUCACGCUCCUGGACUCUUGUUCGAGCACCUGCAAAAUGGAAAGGGGAUCGUCACUCCACAGAGAAGCUGCUGCUAGAGGAUACCUGUCCCACACGUCCGUCGUCAACGCGCUCAUCAACAUGUAUGCCAAGUGUGGAAGCCUCGAAAACGCGACGAGAGUGUUUAUCGAGGCAACAAACCGCACUACCAACGCGAUCACCUGGAACACCAUGAUAGUAGCCAACGCACAGGAGGAUCUAAAUCUCGAGGCCCUGCAAAUAUACCACAGAAUGAAUCAAGAAGGGAUAAAAGCAAGCGACGUUACUUACGGUACUGUUCUUGCUGUCUGUGCCAAUCUUGGUGAAUUUACCACGGGCCGAGAAGUCCACUCUCGCAGUCUUGCCACUAGAUGCUGCUCGGACGUCGU